UACGUAGGGGGCAAGCGUUAUCCGGAUUUACUGGGUGUAAAGGGAGCGUAGACGGCAGCGCAAGUCUGGAGUGAAAUGCCGGGGCUCAACCCCGGAACUGCUUUGGAAACUGUGCAGCUAGAGUGCGGGAGAGGUAAGCGGAAUUCCUAGUGUAGCGGUGAAAUGCGUAGAUAUUAGGAGGAACACCAGUGGCGAGGGCGGCUUACUGGACCGUAACUGACGUUGAGGCUCGAAAGCGUGGGGAGCAAACAGG
rnacentral:rRNA from 1 species